rfam:Triticum aestivum genome assembly, contig: Triticum_aestivum_CS42_TGACv1_scaffold_177865_2DS
UUUAUACUCCCUUCAUCCAGAAAUACUUGUCGUAGAAAUGCAUAAAAAUGGAUGUAUUUAGACCUAAAAUACGUCUAGAUACAUCCAUUCCUCCGAUAAGUAUUUUCGGACGGAGGGAGUAUAUG